GUAAAAAAUCAGUUGCCUUAUUUUUGCCCAGCAGCCCUCCUGCCACCCAGCUGAGAGUGGGUGUCACUGCCAAAUAGCAGUGUCACCGGGCCUCUGCCAAGUGCGGCCCUUCCCAGAGUGGCCGGGUCCCGGGCCCCACAUCUGCAGCUCCUCAGCCUUCCUGGCUUCCCCAGCACAGGGCCCCCCUUGCGCCUGGCCUCCUCUUGCUGCCGUCCUCUCUGGACAGCAUCCAAAGCCAUCACUGUGGCAUCCAGAUGCUCCUCCAAGAACCUGUUCCCAGCAGCAAGCUCCUCUCCUGGAGAGGGAAGGUCCAGCCUCACGCACACACCAGCGACAGGAGAACGUGCUGGCACUCAAGGUGGGCCCAGGACAAGACGCUCGGAAAACAGCAUGGAUUGUUUAGCCCGUGAACGCGAGCAAUGCGUGAAGACGAACAAAUAUUCGACACCCACAACUGACAGAAGGAGAGGUUAAUUUGGCUUACAGUUUCCAGAGGUUUCAGUCCAUGGUCAGCACUCCAAGGCAGGAACAUCACAGCAGCAGGGCCUGGUGGAGGAAGCUGCUCACCUCAUGCAGCCAGGAAGCAGAGAGAAGGGAGGAGCCAGGGACAGGAGCAAGAAAGCACCUUCCAGGUCACACCCCAGUGACCUCCUCCAGCCAGGGCCACUUCCUAUAGCACCUUCAGCCCUGAACUCACCCAUGAUGGAUCCACUGGUGAGCACAGUGCCCCAUGCUCAGUCACCUCCUGAAGACCUUUGGGGACAAUAUAGAUCUAAAGCAUGACAGAGUCUAAUCGGGUGCUCUGCUCUCUCUUCUGAGCACCUGGCACAACCCUCCCUGCAACGCGCUGUACCGGGCAUGAGCCGUGAGCUGCUACCUGGGUGACACGGCUCCGUGUGUGUCAGGUCCAAGGUGCAUUCUGCCUCCAAAUAAAAGGCAGGUGAAGUCCAGAUGGAUUUCUUGGUUUAAAAUAGCUGGGAAAUUAUUUCAGUAGUUUCGUGUUUACUUUGUGCCAUAUUGAAAAGAUACCCUCCAAAGGAAUCCUCACAGAAAGAUAUUUUCAGCAAAAGGUUCAUGAGUGUAGACUGUGCGCAACAUGCCACAAAAGGUAUAGGUGGCAAAGGGUGUCCCUGUCUUAGGAGGAGAACAGCAGGAAAAGCAGGACAUCGGAGUGAGCUGGAGGGAUUCGUGCCAUGGUGGGAUAAUAGCUCACACGGCAGCUAAACACAGGGUCAGCUCAAGUUGGCCGCCAGAUUCUCCCAAUGAGGUCCAUUUUUAAAAUGCUGAUCAAGUAAAACUUCAAGUUUGCUCAAAACUACACUUGGCCUGGUGUCCAAAUAUUUCCAACCAAGACUAAUCCCUAAAAACCCC
rnacentral:lncRNA from 1 species